rnacentral:rRNA from 1 species
UGCAAGUCGAACGAUGAUGCCCAGCUUGCUGGGUGGAUUAGUGGCGAACGGGUGAGUAACACGUGAGUAACCUGCCCCUGACUCUGGGAUAAGCGUUGGAAACGACGUCUAAUACUGGAUAUGAUCACUGGCCGCAUGGUCUGGUGGUGGAAAGAUUUUUUGGUUGGGGAUGGACUCGCGGCCUAUCAGCUUGUUGGUGAGGUAAUGGCUCACCAAGGCGACGACGGGUAGCCGGCCUGAGAGGGUGACCGGCCACACUGGGACUGAGACACGGCCCAGACUCCUACGGGAGGCAGCAGUGGGGAAUAUUGCACAAUGGGCGAAAGCCUGAUGCAGCAACGCCGCGUGAGGGAUGACGGCCUUCGGGUUGUAAACCUCUUUUAGUAGGGAAGAAGCGAAAGUGACGGUACCUGCAGAAAAAGCACCGGCUAACUACGUGCCAGCAGCCGCGGUAAUACGUAGGGUGCAAGCGUUGUCCGGAAUUAUUGGGCGUAAAGAGCUCGUAGGCGGUUUGUCGCGUCUGCUGUGAAAUCCCGAGGCUCAACCUCGGGCUUGCAGUGGGUACGGGCAGACUAGAGUGCGGUAGGGGAGAUUGGAAUUCCUGGUGUAGCGGUGGAAUGCGCAGAUAUCAGGAGGAACACCGAUGGCGAAGGCAGAUCUCUGGGCCGUAACUGACGCUGAGGAGCGAAAGCAUGGGGAGCGAACAGGAUUAGAUACCCUGGUAGUCCAUGCCGUAAACGUUGGGCGCUAGAUGUAGGGACCUUUCCACGGU